GAUGAAGAACGCAGCGAAAUGCGAUAAGUAAUGUGAAUUGCAGAAUUCAGUGAAUCAUCGAAUCUUUGAACGCACAUUGCGCCCGCCAGUAUUCUGGCGGGCAUGCCUGUUCGAGCGUCAUUUCAACCAUCAAGCCCCCGGGCUUGUGUUGGGGACCUGCGGCUGCCGCAGGCCCUGAAAACCAGUGGCGGGCUCGCUGUCACACCGGGCGUAGUAGAUUAUAUCUCGCUCAGGGCGUGCUGCGGGUUCCGGCCGUUAAAAGCCUUUUUUACCCAAGGUUGACCUCGGAUCAGGUAGGAAUACCCGCUGAACUUAAGCAUAUCAAUAAGCGGAGGA
rnacentral:misc_RNA from 1 species